rnacentral:rRNA from 1 species
UACGUAGGGCGCAAGGCGUUAUCCGGAAUUAUUGGGCGUAAAGAGCUCGUAGGCGGUUUGUCGCGUCUGCCGUGAAAGUCCGGGCUCAACUCCGGAUCUGCGGUGGAUACGGGCAGGCUAGAGUUCGGUAGGGGAGACUGGAAUUCCUGGUGUAGCGGUGGAAUGCGCAGAUAUCAGGAGGAACACCGGUGGCGAAGGCGGGUCUCUGGGCAGUAACUGACGCUGGAGGAGCGAAAGCGUGGGGAGCGAACAGG